UACGUAGGGUGCAAGCGUUGUCCGGAAUUAUUGGGCGUAAAGAGCUCGUAGGCGGUCUGUCGCGUCUGCUGUGAAAUCUCAGGGCUUAACCCUGAGCUUGCAGUGGGUACGGGCAGACUAGAGUGCGGUAGGGGAGACUGGAAUUCCUGGUGUAGCGGUGAAAUGCGCAGAUAUCAGGAGGAACACCGAUGGCGAAGGCAGGUCUCUGGGCCACUACUGACGCUGAGAAGCGAAAGCAUGGGGAGCGAACAGG
rnacentral:rRNA from 1 species